rnacentral:lncRNA from 1 species
UUUUGCCAGUAGGAAGUAAUAAAGGGAGACUGGAGGCAGAGGAGAGCAAGACACUUCUUUCCUGUGUCUUGUUAUUAACACCACCCAGGGGAAGAGGUUUGGUCCAGCCUCCAACUUAUUUUAGCACUUUCAGAACCAGCCUCAUUGUACCCCUUCAGAGAAGCUGCCAGCAGCCAUAUCCUUGAUGUUAAAAACAGGGAUGCUUGCACUGGAGUUCUUGAAAAAAAAAAAUACCAAGUUCACUAGGCUUUAAAUUGUUAGUGCAAGUCUUAGUCAUAAAAAGCUUCUAAAAUCCUUAUAAAAUAAUUAAUAAAGUAUAAUUUAAUUCUAUACAUUGCACAAUUACCAAAAUAAAAAACCCUUGGAUUUAUAGAUUCAUUACAUUUUACAAAUGAAACCUAGAAGUUCUGUGAAAAGACUGGGUUCCUGAGACUUUGAAUGGGGUAUCUAGAAAAACCUGAAUGAAGCUGAGAAUACUGAAUCCCCACAUCUUUUUUUUUUUUUUUUUUUUUUGAGAUGGAGUCUCACCCUGUCACUCAGGCUGGAGUGCAAUGGCAUGAUCUCAGCUCACUGCGACCUUCGCCUCCCGGGAUCAAGCAAUUCUCCUGCCUCAGCCUCCUGAAUAGCUGGGAUUACAGGUGUGCGCCACCAAGCCCAGUUGCUUAUUGCAAGAAAGAGAAGAGACAAACUCAGAUGAAGAUUACUUCAUUCUCACAAGACCAGCUGAACAAACCACCAGCAUCUGGACAUACAUUUUUGAUCUCCU